GAGACCUACGGGGGGCAGCAGCCGCGGUAAUACAGAGGUCUCAAGCGUUGUUCGGAAUCACUGGGCGUAAAGCGAGCGUAGGCUGUUUCGUAAGUCGUGUGUGAAAGGCGCGGGCUCAACCCGCGGACGGCACAUGAUACUGCGAGACUAGAGUAAUGGAGGGGGAACCGGAAUUCUCGGUGUAGCAGUGAAAUGCGUAGAUGUCGAGAGGAACACUCGUGGCGAAGGCGGGUUCCUGG
rnacentral:rRNA from 1 species